GUAAAAGUAGGACUGUCCUGCAUUAAUUUACUGCCAGGUUUUUUUUGUUUGUUAGUUUUUCAGAACUCUACAGACUUGUCCAUGAAUGGUCAAGAAGACAGCUUGUGUCCUCAAUAGCACACAGAAGCCUAAGGAGCUAGGAUUCCUUGAGAAUUGCAUUUUGGCUCCUCAGUCCCACUGGCAAGGCAGCAGUGCCCUGUUCUGGCAGCGGUGCCCAGCAUGGGGGCUCACCCUGUCCAUUCCUAGGUGUGCAGCUAAGGCCAUCUCAGCAGCCCUCUCCUCUGAUGUCCAGGGCAACCGCAGCUCCUAGCUGGCUACAGACCUGCCUCUA
rnacentral:lncRNA from 1 species